rnacentral:lncRNA from 1 species
CAAAAAAAAAAAAAAAAGAGUUGGUUGGAUGGAAAUGGUUGAUUGUUGGGAUUAUGAGUAAUGAGAUACCUAACGUAUAUGUAGACUUUGGAAUUCUGAAGUAAUGAUUAAAACUAAUAUCAAUAAUCUUUCCUUACUGAAGAAAUUCUUUGGCCAGUUUUUCAUAGAGACAAGCAAAGAGUCUGACUGGUGAUUCAGAGACUCCAAGUGUGUCAUGAAACAUGGGUGUGACAGGCACAAGAACGAGCCCCCUUGACAGCCGGCCAGCCUCGUUAGAAUUCCGGAACCGGAGAGUCUGCUUCUGUUCAUGGUCAUAAACACAAUGGCUGGAGCUUCAACAAUCAUGUGACCACUUGAGGAUGGAAAUCAAUGUUGGGAAUGUUGGAAAAAAAAGGAGGGUGGACUUGAACUGCCUUUGUAGCCCAUGUUGGCCUCAAACUCACGGUGAUCCUCCUGCACCACCACACCUGGUUAGUACUUAUAUUCAGUAGAUAAAAGCCUAGGAUAUUCUGUCCACAUGUUUAUAUAGAUUUAAAACAACAAUGACAGCAAAAUGUUUAAAAUUAACUGUGUUUCAAACCUAACUAUAUAUUUAUUUACAUAUGAGAGGGGUUUUAGGGCCGGGGAUUUAGCUCAGUGGUUUCGCUCCCUGCUGCGCAAGCACAGGGACCUGAGUUCGAUCCCCAAUACCAAAAAAAAAAACACAUAUGAGAGGGGUUUUUUUGGUAUGGUAUCCGACCUUCCUAAUUUGCUAGAACUCUAACUUCUAUGUAAAACAAAGAAAUCCUUUGCUCUUUGGAAUCUGACUAGUAUUUGUUGACCAUUCACAAAGUCACAUCAUCACUGGCAAUACUACCUUGUAUCCAAGAUAACACACUUGUAUUAACCUGUUGAUAGUUGUCUCAUUCAUGAUGAAUGAUGAGUAAGUAAAGCAUUUGACUCCUUCAUUGUAUCUUCUAGUUUAGGUGGGCCCAAGUAUUUCCAUGCUUCAUAUCUUAUUUUAUUUAUAAGGUACCUCACCUGUGGGGGCUUUGGCUAGAGAUAAGUAUGAGAUGGAUGUGCAGAGAUAAAGGGAACUUUGGAGUAACAGCCCAAACUUCCUGGCAUGUAUAGUUAAAGAUUAUAGACUAGCCCACAGGACAAAAUUAAAGUAGGAUCAAAAGACAUUACCUUAAAGAAUGUAUGGUCUGGUCCUUGACUUUCCCACAGACUGAUACAUUAUUUAGAUUAGCUCUAAGGUCUGUCAUGUAGCUGGCUCCCUGUUCCUUCCCUACCCCUCAACACAGAUCCCUGUAUGGAUAUUUUUUUCUUUACUUCCUGGACCUAUCAAUAAAAAGCCACAGAAGCUUCAGAUUUAGGCUGCUCCUGGAGGCUUUCUUAUUCUGAGAUCACUCCAUAGAACAGUCCCUCCGAGUCAUUUGUUCAUCUCCUGCAUUGCCAUGGUCACUCACAGUGACAAGCGGUGCCCCAUGUGAGGCUCAUGUUAGUACAACUGAACGCAGAGGACAAACUUUCUAAACCUAGAAAAGAGACAAGGACAUCCAACUCUUCAUCCCACUAAGGGAACACACACAGCCAUGGAUAAGCCUGGCAGGUUUGCAGCAAGGUUGUAGGUUAGAUUUAUCAGCCCAGAGGUCUUUUAACUGUUCAAUUGCUAAGGGAUGGGGGCAAUCUGUUUAUUUUUCUUUUUGUUCUUCUACUUUUGGUCCUUCUGCUUUGCAUACUGUAUGGAUCAAACUUUACCCAAAGAGGAAAAGCAAUUUAAGCAAUAUUUAUGAUGUCUUUUAAAGACAUCUGAAUAUAAAGUUACUGAACCUCAAUUUAUCGAACUCCUAAUUGUUAUCCACCAACAAUGUCCUUGGUUCCUGCUGGAAGACAGCCUGGAGGUGGAGGACUGGGAACAUGUGGGUCAAAAGUUGAGACAGCUAUUAGGUCCUAUAAAGGCUGUGGACUUUGCUAUCUGACAUCUUUGCAGGGUCGCUAUUCAAUCUAUUCAAACAAAGGAGGUUCCCCUAAAAAGUCUUCCUCUUCCUCCUUUGGCUCCCUCUGAAAGCCCCAUUCUGCCUCCAAUCACCUAGGGGACCAAAAGAGGUGGCCAGAGUUGCGGGGGCGGGGGGGG